AUGGUUAUAACUACAGAAAGACUUGCUUCAACAACCAUGACUACGUCUUCAGAAAAGACAAAAGCAGCUGAAACAACAAAUACUGCAUCCACAGCCACAACUGAACAUUCCACUGCUACAGUUAAAACAGUGGAAACCACAACUACAGGUUCAUUAACUACAUCUACAACAAACGAUCCAAAAACAUCAACAGCUGUAACAUCAGAAUCCACAACUCUUACUUCAACAACUAUGCCUACAUUAUCAGAAACAACUGCACCUGUAACAACAUCAACAACUACAGCAUCCUCAACUACUGAAAUUUCCACCACCACAGUUGUGAAGACCGAAACAACAGCCAUUACUUCAACAACACUGCCUACAACUUCAAAAAGUACAACAGCAGAAACCACAACUAUAGCUUCAUCAACCACAUCUACAACAACAAACGAUCCAACAACAUCAACAGCUGUAACUUCAGAAUCCACAACUCUAACUUCAACAACAAUACCUACAUCUUCAGAAACAACUGUACCUGUAACAAUAUCAACAACUAAAGGAUUGUCAAUUAGUGAAAUUCCAACAACCACAGUUGUGAGUACAGAGACCACAACUACUACUUCAACAACACUGCCUACAACUACAGCUUUGUCACCUACAUCUACAACAACAAAUGAUCCAACAACAUCAAUAGCAGUAACUUCAGAAUCCACAACAAUUGCUUCAACAACAAUGCCUACAACUUCAAAAAGUACAACAGCAGAAACCACAACUACAGCUUCAUCAACCACAUCUACAACAACAAACAAUCCAGCAACAUCAACAGCUGUAACUUCAGAAUCGACAACUCUUACAUCAACAAUGCCUACAUCUUCAGAAACAACCGCACCUGUAACAACAUCAGUAACUACAGCAUACUCAACUGCUGAAAGUCCCACAACCACAGAUGUGAGUACAGAGACCACAACUAUUACUUCAACAACACUGCCUACAACUUCAGGAAGUACAACAGCAGAGACCACAACUACAGCUUCAUCAACCACAUCUACAACAACAAAUGAUCCAACAACAUCAACAGCUGUAACUUCAGAAUCGACAACUCUUACUUCAACAAUGCCUACAUCUUCAGAAACAACUGCACCUGUAACAACAUCAGUAAUUACAGCAUCCUCAACUACUGAAAUUCCCACCAACACAGUUGUGAGGACCGAAACCACACGCAUUACUUCAACAACACUGCCUACAACUUCAGAAAGUACAACAACAGAGACCGCAACUAACUGGGGUGGUGGGAAUGUGAAUUGGUAUUGUUAAAUUGCCUCACAUAUUUACACUUCAGGCGGCCACCAAAUUAAUACAAGUAUUUGUAGACUUAACUGAAGCCACACUCUCUGGUCCCUUUAGUAUAUUAUACAACAGAGUAAGGUAACACGUAUACAUAACCUAUACCUUGAGACUCAAAGCACUGAGGUGGGGGACCAAGAUCCUUUCCUCCUAAAGUCUUCCGAGGUAACAUUAAUUUCCCCUACUAAGCGGGCCCUAACGCACCCGUUACAUUUGGCGUCACGAACAGGAUAGAAUUAGUGUGUUUAACUUUUUGUGUUUGUGUGUCACGAGUCCCAGGCCUACAAGCUGAAGAAUGGCAGAGCUUGAAGAUCUGAGAAAACAGAUGGUAGAAAUGCAAAGAAGGUUUGCAGAACAGGCAGGAGCGCUCGAGCAAGCCAGGUCUGAACAAAGGGAAGCCUUGUCACUAGCAAGAACAGUCAUUGAGCACCAAGCUACUUUGCAAGCAACCCCAUCUGUCCUCUAUA
ensembl:lncRNA